UCCUACGGGACGCAGCAGUGAGGAAUAUUGGUCAAUGGGCGGAAGCCUGAGCCAGCCAAGUCGCGUGAGGGAAUAAGUCCCUACGGGUCGUAAACCUCUUUUGCCGGGGAGCAAGGGCGGGGACGUGUCCCGGCCCGGAGAGUACCCGGAGAAAAAGCAUCGGCUAACUCCGUGCCAGCAGCCGCGGUAAUACGGAGGAUGCGAGCGUUAUCCGGAUUUAUUGGGUUUAAAGGGUGCGUAGGCGGGCUUUUAAGUCAGCGGUAAAAAUUCGGGGCUCAACCCCGCCCGGCCGUUGAAACUGGGGG
rnacentral:rRNA from 1 species